ensembl:lncRNA
GUUUUUAUUACCUUCCGUUUUUAUUACUUUCUGUUUUACUUUUUUUUUUUUUUUUUUUUGUAGGUAUGCUGCUGAUGUUAUGCGUCUAUUACAACUAUAUAAUUUUAAAAUAUUAUUUUUAUUCUUUGUUUUGGGCUUUCAUUGUCUCUAUUCCUUUACAUCAUGUAAAAGAAAAAUUAUUAGUGUUUUUAAAAGUAAAAUUUAUAAAAAAAAAAAAAAAAAAAUAAAUAAUAUAAAAAACAUAAAAAACAUAAAAAACAUAAAAAAAAAAAUUUAUAAAUUAAGGUUUAAGGAAUAUUUAGAACAUAGUAGUACUAAAAAUGAUAAUAUAUUUAAAAAACAAAAUCGAAAUACUGUCAGUAAUAGAAAACGUUCUAGUAGCAUUGCUACUUAUACGAAAGGCUUAAAUACGCCUUCGUCAUUUAUAAUGGAUAAUAAAAUGAAAUUAAAUAAAAGUAUGGGUGGUAACUUGAACAGUAGCAGAAGUGACAAUACAUCUAACGAGUUGUAUAAUAAAAGAAAAAAUUGUACCAUAAUAAAAAAAAAACCUUUCGUUUUAGUAAAUAAUAAAGAGAUAAGACAAAAAGGGAGCAUGAAAAAAUUUAUACUAAUGUCUGCUUUAAAAUCUUUUUUUUAUAAAAUUAUAACAAAUAUUAAAAACGAAUUAAAUAUAUAUAGAUAUAUACUAUUUUUAAUUAUAAAACCGAUAUAUAAAGAAAAAUGUGGAAAAGAUAAUAAUAUGAAUAUAACUACCAGUACUUCUAGUAUUAUUAAUAAUAAUAAUUAUAAUGCUAAUAAUAAUGUUAGUAGUAAAUGUAUAGAUAAUUAUGAAACAAAAAACAUGAGUGAAAUUUAUUUUUUAAUAUUACAUAGACUUAUAUUUUUUUAUAUUUUAAAACGUUUUUUUUAUCAAUAUAGAGAUUUCCUACUAAACUUUUUAAUUUUUUUUAUUUAUAUUUUUGUUUUGUAUAAAAUCAUCAAGACAAUAUGGAUAACAUAUAUAUAUAAAAUAUGUAAAAAAUAUUAUAAUAAAUAUAAACAAAAUAUCUCAUUAGAUUAUACUUAUAUAUAUAAACAUUAUAUGAACAACAUUUUAACCAUAUUAAUAAUAAUAUUAGCUAUAAUUAUAUUUGCUUCCAUUUUUGUCUUUUUUGUUAUUAAUAUAUAUGGAGAGUCUGUAUAUAUAAUUAACUCUUUUAAUAAUUAUGUUUCGUCCAAUUUUAGAAAUGCACCCAUAAUACAAAAUUUUAAAAAAUUUUACAAAACAACGGGAAAAAGUGAUAUAGAAAAUUUGUACGAGUUCGUGAGCCUAAACAAUAUACCAUUUCUGAGCAACAAAACUAUAUUAUCUAUAUCUACCCACUUAAAAAGAGCAAUAGAUAUUUAUGAAAAUAUAUACUCUGAUAGUUUUAUGAAAAAUAAUUGGAGCACUAUAAACAAGUGUUGUUUAAUUUUGCUUAUUGAAAGAUUUUCAGUUGUUAAAGAAAACCGACUUAGUAAAAUAAAACAAUAUAUACUUUCUAUGAGAGAAAAAAAACAACUUCCUUCUAAAUUGAAUAUUUAUAAUAAUAUAAAAAAUAAUUAUGAACAUUGUGAUAUUAAAAAAUGUUUAACCAAAAAGGAAAAAGAAAAUGAUUUUUUUUUUAGUGUUAAAAAUUGGAUUCAUUCUAUAUUAAAACAUUAUUUUUUUUCAAAAAAUAAAGGAGCUUAUUUUUUUAAUGAAAAAAAUGAAAAGGAUCAGAUAAAUAGUAAUCUAAUUAUUAAAGAAAUUUCAAAAGAAAAAAAAAAAAAUUUAACAAAUGUUAAUAUGUCACAUAUUAAUCAUGAUAGUAUGAACAAUAAUGUUACACUUAAAGUAUUACACAAAGAACUUUGUUGUGUUCAUCAAAAUAAUUUUUUAAAUUUUAAAAAAUGUAUUGCUAUUAAUAUUAACUGUCAUACAAUUAAUAACAGAAAAACGACAAAUGAUGUCAUUGACAUGGUUCAUACUGUAACACAUGAUAAAGUAAGUGAUAUAACACACGAUAUAACAAUAAAGAAUAAUAUAGCAGUAGUAAAUGACAGAACAAUAACACAUGAUAUACAGGGUAAUGUAUCUAAAUAUGUUGACGAAAUGGAUGGUAUAAAAUAUAAACAAAAUUUAUUAAACAAAAGAGAAUUUGAUAAAUCAGUGAGUAAAAACAUGAAAUUAAAUGUUGAGAAAAAAAACAUUAACAAUACUGAUAAAUCAUCAAAAGAAAAGAAUUUAAAAAUUCGAGAAUUUAUAAAUUAUAUUAAUAGCAUAUUUUUAUCUUUAAAAAAAAUUGAAGACAUUGGUAAAUUAACUAAAUAUCUAGUAUUUAAUAAUAGUUUUGGUUUAUUAAAAAUAAUGAUAUUUUUUGUUUUAAUUUUUUUUAAUUUUUUUAUGUUUACUUUCGAUGCUAUAAUACAAGGUAUUAUUUUUUUUACAGCAUUAUAUUAUUUAAUAUUAUCAAAAAAAUCAGUAUUAAAUUUUUUAAAAGAUUUAUUAUUAGUAGUAGAUCCAUCUAGUAUUUUUUUUUAUAAUAUAACCCAAAAUUUAAAAGCAAUUAUUAUAUGUACAUUAAAAAAAAUAUAUUUUUAUGCUAUGUACAUAUGGUUAAUUUUUUCUUUUUUUCAAUUUCCAAUUAUAUAUGUACCUACUUUAAUGAGUAUUAUUUUGUCAUUAAUUCCUGUCAUAUCUCCCGAAAUAUUAAUUCUUAUUAUUAUAAUAGAUUUAUGGAUUAUACAGAAAAAAAAAUAUUAUCUUUCAUUUUAUUUACUAUCAACUGUUUUAUUUAUUUAUAUUUUACUACUACUAUAUAUACUGAAAUACCCCAUACUCAUGCAUGGCUAGUGUCACUGUCUGUAUUUUUAUCUAUUACUACAUUCGGUUCUAAAGGAUUGAUAUUAGGGCCACUAAUCGGAUCCAUUCCUAUCAUACUACAUCAGGCAGCCAUAAAUAAAAACAAAUAUAUUAAAAUGAAUACUAAAGCA